GCAGGUUUCCUUAAGAUGUUUCCCUCACUGCGUUCUAGAGCAAAGAAUGGGAGCACUCCAUAUCCUCUUGUUAAUGUUGUUAAAAGCGAGUAAACAUAAUGUCAAAAACCACUCUAAAGGUUACAGUUGACUAAAUUCAGAAGUAUCAUUCAGUAUUUAAAAUUAAAAAAGCGGUAAAUUGGGAAAGAGGACAAGACGCGGCUUUAACAAUAGCGGGUAUAAUAGCGGAGGCGGGUACGGUAGCGGGGGCGAGUACGGGCGCGGCAGUGACGAGCGAGACACCAGUAGCCAGGAGGGUAAUGGAUGCAGCAGCGAAAAUGGCAGGAGCCGAGAAUACGCCUACAACCGAGAUGGCCGACAAUUCAACGAGAACAGCCGUGGAACUCGAUCCUUCGCCAAGGCGUCCGCCUCAGCUGCCGCUUCCGCGUAUAACAUAAACAGUGGCUCAAAAAAUCUUUUAGCAUAAUUGGCAGUUCAUUAUCUUCGUAAUAAAUGGUUUGAUUGCUGGGAAGUUUAAGGCGAAGAAUGAUGUUGAUCUUAUAUACAAUAUACGUAAAUUAAUUAAUUUUGAAUUGAAUUUAUUUAUUUGAGUUUGAUUUGAUAAAUUUACGUUACGGAUAUUAGUUUUUUUAAUACUUAAUUAUAUGAUAA